AGAGCUAGGCGAGGAAGGCGAGCGGAGAGCCCGAGUCCUGGCCGCGGAGGGGGCCGUGGGUCUCCAGGCCUGCCCUGGGCGCCCCCGCCCUUCUCGCGCUCUCGGCGCUCCGGAGGGAGUGGCAGGGAGGAGGCGAGGUGCUGGAGAACCGGUUCCUUCGCUCUCCCGCGCGCUACAGGGCUCAGCCGCUCGGGUGUGGGCGCCAGGACCCGGGGGCGGCGGGCUGGAGGAGCCCGGGCCUCGGCCCCUCUCCCGGCGCCGCGGGCCCCAGCGUUUUCUUCCCCGGCGCCGCCACCUGAGACCGACGCCGCGGGCUGCUCGUGCCGGCGCAGGCUACUUUGCAGAGCGCGGGAGCAGCUCCGGGCGUGCAGAUCUCUCCUCGGCCCCUCCGGACUCUCGCGCCUGGGAAGAGCACCCACUGGGAGGGCGCCGCCACUUACCUGCUUGCUCGUCGGCAUCUCCCGGGGUUCCAGGUCCCCACCAAGGGUGUUUGCAAGUCUUAAGCGCUUCUACUGAAACGUUGGAGCCCAGCGUCCUCUUCCCCUCACACGUACACCCUACUUCUUAAUUGAAACAUUUUGAUAGGAAAGUUUCUUUUUCGCUCUUUCUCUCUCUUUCUUAGACUGCCUCUAACAGGGACUUUUUGAUGGAAAAUGUGGCCACAGACCCCUGCCCUCAACUUUUUUCCACAUGCUGCGUAAGGAUCCUCCUUGAGGCGAUUUCCCCGGAUUGUUCGUACGGGCGAAGCCCAUUUCCCACCCGAAAAAACUUCCCAAACACGUCUACCUGGGUGGACUUUUAAAAGUGCAAAAAAGAGUUUUCGUUCCAACUCUAAGCUAGGCGAAUCUUUUAAAUGGCACCUCCUCCUGAAAAUUAGGCACUUUAUUCCCUUUCGAGGAAUUUCUACCCCUUGUUUCUAAUCUCCCCCACUCCCCCACCCCGACAGGCGGGGUAAAAAGUUUGCACAGGAUUAAGUGUGAGGGCAAGUCAAGGAGCCUCCAGGCGCAUCGCAGUGGGGAGCACUCGCGCUGCCCGGGCUGCGGGGUCGGGCGCCGAGAGCGGACCGGGCGCUGGGUGAGGAGGAGGAGAACGAAGGGGGAGCCCGCUGAGUGAAAAGGGGCCGCGGCCGCCGCUCAUCAAAGUGCUUCCCCCUCCCCCAAGCGACACUUUCCUUUGGAGUCCGAAUAAAAUACGGUAACAGAAUAUGAUGGAGGGCACACUGUUUCCUUAACUGCUUCUCAAAGGACCCGGGAGAUCUUCUUAGGACCUUUAAUAAGGCUUUGGUCGGUUCUUUUGUUGAUCUCUCAAAAUCAACUCCUUCUAAUUGAAGUUGGAGCUGAAAGCGAGCUAAUGUUCAAAGAAAGUGGCCGCCAGACCAACGAAAUUACAUUUUUUUUUUGACGAUGAGGGAACAUCUAAUCAAAGAGGCAGGGGAGGAGGGGUGGGAGUGGGGGCGUACGAAGGAGAAAAGGAGGUUUUACAAGAUCCUUCUCUGGUUCACAAAAGUCAGCGACACGGGCGCUUCUCUACAGAACAAAGACACCGCGGCCCAUUCACAAAAGGGAGAGAAAGAGAGAAAGCUGAAUAAAAGAACGAGAGAAAUGGGGAAAAAAUGAGAGAGAGAAGGAGGGAGAGAGUGAGUGAGAAAGAAGCUUUAAGAGGAAAAGAAACAGUGCAGAGCGCAGCGCUAACCCAGGCGGGGACACACCUUAGGCUCGCGCAGGCCCCUACCAGGAGUAGCCCGCGAGGCCCGCGGUCAGCCGCCCGCGGCUCGGAGCCACUGUGAUCGUGCUGAGGUUUAAAGAAAGCAACGAAAUAUACCCCUUCCUUAGGUUCCGAGGAAAGGCGCCGGCUGGAGCGCACUAGUUUUGGGGGAAAGAAUAUGCGGACGUCCCGGGGUGCGCUUCGCCGGCGUCCGCGUCCAUAGCCCGGCGCUGCCCUAGUCCCGGCCAGUCCGCUGUGUGCCGGGGUUGGCCCUCCAGUGCCGGGGCGCGUGACCUUGCCCCAUUCCUCCACCUUAACUCAUUCCUCCCUCCACCAGGCCCUGUUUCGCCUGCAGCCUCAGCACCUGACCUGGGUCCGGCGCAGCGAGGUGGGACGGCAGUGCGCUCUGGAAUGUGCCAGCGCGGUCCCCGGGGUACGCCUCGCGGGAGGCCGGCGCUCUCGGUUCCAGAUGCUGCCACCAUUCUCGGGGAAGUUGGGAGGUAUCAAGUAGCACGGAUUUUUUUUUUCCUAAUUAGAGUAUUUAUCUAAUCCCAAAUUGCAGGCGAAUUUUCUUAACGCUCAGCCCAUAAAACCCCAGGAUUAAGAAAAGAAAGAGGAGAGGGGGAGAGGGAGGAGAGUGGAGAGGGAGAGAGACUGGGAUGAAAGUUUCUUGAAAGCAGCGCAGAGGAUUGAGGCGGCCGUCGCUAGGCAAAUGUCCAGGUGGGAGAUGCUGGGCCAGAAGCCAUGACCGUUCCAGCAUCGGCCGCGGUGCGGGAAGGGGAAGUGGGGACACCACUGGAGGAGGUGAAGCCGUCCAGCUCAAGGCCCUCGAGCCGGGAAGGGGCGAGGGAGCUGGGUGUGGAGACAAGGAUCCAGCAUCCAGGUGACCUCCAGGCCCGGCCAGGCUCUGGAGGACACUUGGGACAAGGGGAGGGCUUUGGAUCUGAGGCCGAGGGAUCUGACCAGGGGCGGAAGUUCUGCUCCGGCCCGCAGACUGUGCCCAAGCAAGCCCGCUGCCAACGCCCCUGCUCCUCUGCGACCCUCGGACCGAUAGUCUCUUUUCCCGCAGCGCGGGCUUUCGAGUUCCGGGUCCUCCGGCGUGCUGGGCUCGUGCCCGUUCUCGGGAGCCAGCGUCUGGGCACCACGCAGCGAUGUCCGGAUGCAGCGCCCUUGCCGCGGGCCUUACCCCGCCAGGCGCCGGAGUCCACGCUCCACCGCCGCUGAGGGGCGUUCGGGCGCCACCGAGCAGCCCAAAUUGAAACCCCGAGAGGCUCGGGACUAAAGCUGAAGGGGCAGGUAGAGGGGCCGCCCGGCGGUCCCAGACCAUCCUAGCAAAUCUGGGGCGAGGGAAGGGUUGUCAGUUGGCCGAUUGGGAGCGGCUUCGGGAGCGAAGGAGCUGCUUUUCGGCGAGGCCCCUCGGGAGUGAAGGUUCCUCGAAUCAAGCGUAAACUGGGUGGGUGCUGUUGGCCGCCCAGGCCCCAGGCUGCUUGGGGCGGGCGAUUUCUGUCUGCUGAGUUUUCCCGGGGUUAGAACGGGAUUCUGAGAGCGUUCCCCAGAGAGCAGCAGCUCUCUCUCUGCUCUCGUGCUCGAAUAAAGAGGGCAAAUACCGACUUCAUUUACUUAAAAUAACUUUUCAAUAACUUAAAAGAAAUGCUCAUCAUGAAGGAAUUCUACCGUAGCAAGUUUUUAUCAUUUUGAAAGACUGGCAACUGGAGGUGGCUGCAUACUUGGAACGAAAUUUGUUUGUGUGCACAUACAUACGAUCUACGCUGAAGUAUAAAUGCUAGUGGACUUUUUUCUCUAAGUUUCUGGACUUGUUGAACAAGCUUUCUUUGUUUGGACACCCCUGUGGGGGAAUGAAGGAAACUAGCAUAGAAUCGCUUUUUUUUUUUUUCUGUAGCCUAGAACUUCUUGUUAAAAGUUCUCUUUCCCUCAUUUCAUACACACAUACCUGCAUACAUUCUCCCCGCCCCCCAACAAUAACCCUCUUCCUUUCACUUCAGUACCUACAGACUUGCCGGUUAUCAGAAGACACGACUCUCCCUAAUACGACUUCAAAACUCUAACAAUUCAAAGUAAUGACGUGGAAAAUUCAAGAUAUAAAUAU
rnacentral:lncRNA from 1 species